UGGCACAGUUGACCACUCCUUCCUCCUUGAAACACUAUACCUGCUUUCCUUCUGCUUCACCAUGUCCUCUCUGAGAGACAUUUUUAGUGGUUCUUCCUCAACCCCCUGACUUCCGAGCAUUAGCAUUUCCCAGAUUUUAGUCCUCGGAUCUCUUUUGUUGUUGUUGUUAGAGACAAAAAUCUCCCCUCCUGGAGCAUGGCUUUGGAGGAUAGCAACCCCGAACUUGCAAUCCUGACUGCUAUGUGACCUUGGGGGGGCGCUCCUUACCCACCUGGGCCUCGGUGCCCUCCUGGGCGAAAGGGGAAUAAUCCUACCCACACUUGAGGGGACCUGGGAGUGGGAGUCCUUGAGGGGACCUGGGAGUGUGAGUCCUUAAGGGGACCUGGGAGUGGGAGUCCUUAAGGGGGCAGACACCACAAUGAUGAAAUUUGGGGCUGGGGGCAGAGGGCCUCUAAGGACAGAACGCCAAGGCUUAGCUUAGGCUGUCAUUCAUCUCUCCCAUUGUGUAGGUGGCCUUUUCACUCUGCGGGUUGUAUUCCUGGAUGCACAGUUUACAUUUUGAUGUAAUCCUAUUUUUCUACUUCUGCUUUUGUUACCUGUGCUUUUGAUGUCAUAAGAAAUCAUUGCCAAACCACUCCUUUAUGCUGUCAAUAAUUCUGCCUUUGGGUGGGUGGGAGGGAAUGGUCAGGGACUAUUGCAACAGUUGAGGGAAUGAUGACGUGUUUAGCCAGGAGCAUGGAAGCCCCCAGGUGGUGGGAAGGCAGUGAUUGUGGUAUUCCAGUUACAGAGGGGCUUUCGUGGAGCAGAGUGAUGACCCAGAAGGCAGAAACAGGACCAGUAGGAGGCCCAGGGAGGCAAAAAGCAGCUCAAUCUAGCAAGAUUCCAGAAGUGGAAGAGGAUACCUUGGAGGUAGUGAGCUCCCUGUCACUAGAGUUGUGCGAGACCUCAGUUGAUCACUCAGAAUAUUUCACAGGGGCUUCAGACAGAAGAUAUGUUUGGGGUUGAUGGCCUCUGAUCCCUUCUAUGAUUCCAUAAGGAAGGAGGGAGCUCAAAGGUUCAGCCAGCAGGGUGGGAUGGACGGGGCUGCAGCUGAUAGGUAUGCCCUCCUCUGUGCCUGGGGAAGUCUUGUGCUUUGAAGCCUAGCUGUGCAGGAGAUUCCCUUAAGUUGCCAUCACCCUGGAGCCUGAACCCAAGCCCUGGCCCAACCCAUCCAUAGGUCUUGGAGACCUGGACUGGAAGAGAGGAAGAGAGA
rnacentral:lncRNA from 10 species